rnacentral:rRNA from 1 species
GAUGAACGCUAGCGGCAGGCCUAACACAUGCAAGUCGAGGGGUAACAGGAAAAGCUUGCUUUUCGCUGACGACCGGCGCACGGGUGCGUAACGCGUAUACAAUCUACCUUUAACUGGAAGAUAGCCCCGAGAAAUCGGGAUUAAUACUCCAUAACAUAGUUCUUUCGCAUGUUAGAACUAUUAAAGCUUCGGCGGUUAAAGAUGAGUAUGCGUCCCAUUAGUUUGUUGGUGAGGUAACGGCUCACCAAGACUACGAUGGGUAGGGGGCCUGAGAGGGUGAUCCCCCACACUGGUACUGAGACACGGACCAG